rnacentral:rRNA from 1 species
UCGCCUGCAUGAAGUCGGAAUUGCUAGUAAUCGUAGGUCAGCAUACUACGGUGAAUACGUUCCCGGGCCCUUGUACACACCGCCCGUCAAACCAUGAGAGUCGGAUAUGCCCGAAGUCAGUGACCCAACCGCAAGGAGGGAGCUGCCGAAGGUGGAGCCGAUGACUGGGGUGAAGUCGUAACAAGGUAAC